rnacentral:RNase_P_RNA from 1 species
GAAGCUGACCAGACAGUCGCCGCUUCGUCGUCGUCCUCUUCGGGGGAGACGGGCGGAGGGGAGGAAAGUCCGGGCUUCAUAGGGCAGGGUGCCAGGUAACGCCUGGGGGGCGCAAGCCCACGACCAGUGCAACAGAGAGCAAACCGCCGAUGGCCCACGUAAGUGGGAUCAGGUAAGGGUGAAACGGUGCGGUAAGAGCGCACCGCGCGUCUGGUAACAGUUCGCGGCACGGUAAACUCCACCCGGAGCAAGGCCAAAUAGGGGUUCAUAAGGUACGGCCCGUACUGAACCCGGGUAGGCUGCUUGAGCCAGUGAGCGAUUGCUGGCCUAGAUGAAUGACUGUCCACGACAGAACCCGGCUUAACGGUCAGCUUCCUCA